UACGUAGGGGGCAAGCGUUAUCCGGAUUUACUGGGUGUAAAGGGAGCGCAGGCGGCGCGCCAAGUCUGAUGUGAAACCCCGGGGCUCAACCCCGGGCAUGCAUUGGAAACUGGCGGGCUGGAGUGCCGGAGAGGUAAGCGGAAUUCCUAGUGUAGCGGUGAAAUGCGUAGAUAUUAGGAGGAACACCAGUGGCGAAGGCGGCUUACUGGACGGCAACUGACGCUGAGGCUCGAAAGCGUGGGGAGCAAACAGG
rnacentral:rRNA from 1 species